rnacentral:rRNA from 1 species
UACGGAGGGUCCAAACGUUAUCCGGAAUCACUGGGCGUAAAGAGCAUGUAGGUGGUUGAGUAAGUGAGUGAUUAAAGACCGUCGCUUAACGACGGGAGUGUUGCUUAUACUGCUCGACUUGAGAAUAACAGGGGUAGGCGGAACUUUGGGUGUAGGGGUGAAAUGCGCAGAUAUCAGGAGGAACACCCGUAGCGAAGGCGGCCAUCUGGACCAGCACUGACGCUGAGGCACGAAAGCGUGGGGAGCAAACAGG